rnacentral:rRNA from 1 species
UGCCGCGUGUGUGAAGAAGGCCCCGGGUUGUAAAGCACUUUUGUCUGGAAAGAAACCUUGGUCUAAUACAGUCGGGGGAGACGGUACCGGAAGAAAAGCACCGGCAACACGGCCAGCAGCCGCGGUAAACGUAGGGGCGAGCGUAAUCGGAAUACUGGGCGAAAGCGUGCGCAGGCGGUUGCAAGACCGAGUGAAAUCCCCGGGCUCAACCUGGGAACUGCAUUGGUGACUGGCAGGCUAGAGUAUGGCAGAGGGGGGUAGAAUUCCACGUGUAGCAGUGAAAUGCGUAGAGAUGUGGAGGAAUACCGAUGGCGAAGGCAGCCCCCUGGGCCAAUACUGACGCUCAUGCACGAAAGCGUGGGGAGCAAACAGGAUUAGAUACCCUGGUAGUCCACGCCCUAAACGAUGUCAACUAGUUGUUGGGGAUUCAUUUCCUUAGUAACGUAGCUAACGCGUGAAGUUGACCGCCUGGGGAGUACGGUCGCAAGAUUAAAACUCAAAGGAAUUGACGGGGACCCGCACAAGCGGUGGAUGAUGUGGAUUAAUUCGAUGCAACGCGAAAAACCUUACCUACCCUUGACAUGGUCGGAAUCCUGCUGAGAGGUGGGAGUGCUCGAA